CCUACGGGAUGCAGCAGUGAGGAAUCUUGGUCAAUGGGCGGAAGCCUGAACCAGCCAAGUCGCGUGAGGGAAUAAGGCCCUACGGGUCGUAAACCUCUUUUGCCGGGGAGCAAGGGCGGGGACGUGUCCCGGCCCGCAGAGUACCCGUAGACAAAGCCUCGGCUAACUCCGUGCCAGCAGCCGCGGGAAUACGGAGGAUGCGAGCGUUAUCCGGCUUUAUUGGUUUUAAAGGGUGCGUAGGCGGGCUUUUAAGUCAGCGGUAAAAAUUCGGGGCUCAACCCCGUCCGGCCGUUGAAACUGGGGGCCUUGAGUGGGCGAGAAGAAGGCGGAAUGCGUGGUGUAGCGGUGAAAUGCAUAGAUAUCACGCAGAACCCCGAUUGCGAAGGCAGCCUGCCGGAGCCCGACUGACGCUGAGGCACGAAAGUGCGGGGAUCGAACAGGAUUAGAUACCCCUGUAGUC
rnacentral:rRNA from 1 species